AACGAACGUUGGCGGCGUGGAUUAGGCAUGCAAGUCGAGCGAGAACGUCACCUUCGGGUGGCUAGUAAAGCGGCAAACGGGUGAGUAGCGCGUGGGAAAUCUACCCUCGAGUUGGGGAUAACACUCCUAACGGGGUGCUAAUACCGAAUGAUACGGCCGGGUCGCAUGGCCUGGUCGUCAAAGCUGGCCUCUGCUUGCAAGCUGGCGCUUGAGGAUGGUCCCGCGUCCCAUUAGCUAGUUGGUAGGGUAACGGCCUACCAAGGCGACGAUGGGUAGCUGGUCUGAGAGGAUGGUCAGCCACACUGGGACUGAGAUACGGCCCAGACUCCUACGGGUGGCUG
rnacentral:rRNA from 1 species